CUGUAAGCGUUGUGCAUUUUUCUUUCAGCUGUCAGAUCCUCUCCUCUGAAGAGAGUAUCACUGAGGAACAGUUUGAGAUAAGCAAUAAGGACCAGAAGAAUAUAAAGAGAUCCUCAUGGCUGUCAGAAAAGUAUCUGCUCCAUCCUCUCGUUCUCAUCCUGAAUUAUGCCGGGAUAGCCAUAACGGGCCACGAGAAGCCUUCUGCCAUUUCCAGACAGCGGGACAGUUCUGCAUCCCUGUGCCAGGAGCUGAAGUGGAUGGCACUCUGGGUGAAACCAGGACUUCUCCACCGCAUACCUGUGCCCGCGGAGACGGUCGGGUCCCGUGAAAGCUCCAUUGUUCUUCCUGCCCUAUUGCACGCACGGUGAUUAUAUAGCAUUGGAUAAGCAGUAAUAUGUUGCCUGCUGAAAUAAUAACCUAUCCUUAGUUUAAACAGUGCUAUAUUUAAGAUUUAUAUAUAUUUAAAUGUCGGUGGUUUGUGACAUAUUAUAAUUUGGAUGACAGUUUGUAAAUAAGAUAUUGGAAAGAAAAGCAUCAGCUGCAUUUAGGGAGGUAAAUCUUGGGGUCACGCAGGACGGCUGGAUCGAUGUGGAUUUUAUAGAAGCCUCGGAACCUCUUGGGGUUGGGGAUGGGCAGGGACCCUGCCUGGGUCCGAGAUGCAGGAAACCCCGAUUGCUGCUUCCAUGUUUGAAGGUCAAUCUUUUUUUGUAGCCCUUUUGUCUUUAUUCCCGAACAUGAAAAAAAGGGCUAACAGCUUUUUUCUACCACAGUGGGAUGUUGGCCGACCGUUGUAAAUAGCUCUAAACCGAGACACAGGUGUAAAACGCCGCUGCUCUGCAGGUCGGGCAGAGCGCUGGGUUUCAGCGUGGCCAUCACGGGUCAGCGUUAUUCCCACCCAAAGUGGGUCUCGGUACUCAAAUCUGCUUUUACUCCCCAGUUUGGUUUCUACGCAGGGAGGGAGCCGAUGGGAGGAG
rnacentral:lncRNA from 1 species